rnacentral:rRNA from 1 species
AUUGAACGCUGGCGGCAGGCUUAACACAUGCAAGUCGAGCGGGGUGAUGGUGCUUGCACUAUCACUUAGCGGCGGACGGGUGAGUAAUGCUUAGGAAUCUGCCUAUUAGUGGGGGACAACAUCUCGAAAGGGAUGCUAAUACCGCAUACGUCCUACGGGAGAAAGCAGGGGAUCGCUUGUGACCUUGCGCUAAUAGAUGAGCCUAAGUCGGAUUAGCUAGUUGGUGGGGUAAAGGCCUACCAAGGCGACGAUCUGUAGCGGGUCUGAGAGGAUGAGCCGCCACACUGGGACUGAGACACGGCCCAGACUCCUACGGGAGGCAGCAGUGGGGAAUAUUGGACAAUGGGGGGAACCCUGAUCCAGCCAUGCCGCGUGUGUGAAGAAGGCCUUAUGGUUGUAAAGCACUUUAAGCGAGGAGGAGGCUCUUUUGGUUAAUACCCAAGAUGAGUGGACGUUACUCGCAGAAUAAGCACCGGCUAACUCUGCGCCAGCCGCCGCAGUAA